rnacentral:rRNA from 1 species
AUGGCUCAGGCUCCAGGCCGCGCCGCCUCCGCCGUGCGGCUCUUCGACGCGCACUGCCACCUGCAGGACCCCCGCAUCGCGGCGGCCGCCCCCUCACUCAUACGCGCCGCCACAGCCUCCGGCGUCGGCCGGUUCGCGGUCAACGGCACCUCCGAGAAAGACUGGCACCUGGUGAAGCAGAUGGCCCAGGAGCACCCGGCUAUCAUCCCCUGCUUCGGCCUCCACCCAUGGUGGGUGCCGGAGAGGUCGCCCGAUUGGAUGGAUUCGCUCCGGCAGUUCUUCUCGGAGACCCCAGAGGCGGCUGUUGGAGAGACUGGUCUGGACAAGGGAUCGCAUGGAAAAACUAUUGACUUCGGAGAACAGGUUGAAGUAUUCGAACGACAACUUGAACUUGCUAAGGAAUUGGAGAAACCUGUUUCUGUUCAUUGUGUACGUGCCUUCGGCGAUCUUCUGGAAAUACUAAAGCGUACUGGGCCUUUCCCAGCAGGUGUGCUGUUGCAUUCUUAUCUGGGGUCUGCAGAAAUGGUGCCCGGCCUUGCAAAUUUAGGUUGUUACUUUUCAUUGUCUGGUUUCCUUACAGGCCUGAAAUCCACUAAGGCAAAGAAAAUGCUCAAAGCAAUACCCUUGGACAGAAUUCUGUUAGAGACAGAUGCACCAGAUGCAGUACCAAGGUUGGACAAUGUUUCUCUAGUUACAGUCCCUGUGGACACUUCAGAUGCAGAUAUUGAAAUGUUCCAGGGCGAUUCGACCUCUCAGGCGGCUACCCCUUCAAAAGAAUCCUUGAAUCAUCCAGCUAACAUCCACAUUGUUUUGAAGUAUGUGGCAUCGCUGCUUGAAAUGCCGGAAGCAGAACUCGCCGAGGCGAGCUACAGGAACGCCACCAAACUGUUCUCCUACCCUGGAUCCAAAGUUCACCCCAAAGCUGAAACUGCGUGA